ACUCGCUACUUUGCUUUAUUAUAACUUACACGAGUUAUAGUAGAUAAAUGGUAUAAACCUCAAUGAACGCUAUUUUAAUUAAUCUACAUAUGGAAAUUAUGUGUAUAUAAUAUAAAUAGAAGAGGAAUGUUAACCUAUCACUCGCCUUUAACCUAAUAUGUGAUAAUCUACGACAGCACGAUCGCAGCCAAUUAGCUCGUAUUACUUGCUAUAUAAUUUAUAUUUGUAUCACAACUAUUAGCUAUAGAUGACACAACUAUAGAGUGAUACAAUAAGAAAUUAUAUGUCAAAUAAUAACGAUUGCCCAGGUCCCACCACGAGGAGGUGCUGCGAGUGGAGACCCACCCUAACCACGACCCAUCCACCCACCUUUUGCGAAAAACUACUAAUAUUCAACUAUAUUUCGUUUUUGAUGCACGUUUGCAAAACGUUCAAUUUUUGAUCGCUGUGUAAAUCGAACAUCAAAAGAAUUUAAGCAAACAGCCGACGCGGAAGACUAAACCUAGAAGUACAAGAUAAAUUGAACCUAGAAAUAAAAGAUGAAUUAAACCUGGAAAUAAAAGAUAAGUAAAACCUGGAAACAGAAAACAAAUUAAACAUAGCAGAAACAGAUAAAUUAUGUGAGAUAAAUUAUGUGCAUUAAAAGGAUAAAAAUAAGUAGUAGACAACCAACAACAAUAGCAACCAACAAAGAAAAUCCAAAGAUAAUGAAUGCACAGAAAAAAAAAAAUAUGGUUGCCAAUCUUGAGUAAUCCAGAUAUUUUGGAAUUCCAAUAGGAAAUUCCAUAGGGAGGUCAAGAGUAUUUUUCACGCUUUCCUAUCAAAUAUCAGAUGGAUUUCUAUAGGACCACUUAUCACAAAUCUAUAGACUUUUAUACAACCACCCUAUUACACACCUAAAGAGUAUUUAUAUAACCAACCAGACACACAUCUCGAGAGAAUUUCAGACAUCCUAUUUACGUCUGAAACUAAGGAUUAAAUCAG